rnacentral:rRNA from 1 species
CGGUAGCACAGGGAGCUUGCUCCUGGGUGACGAGCGGCGGACGGGUGAGUAAUGUCUGGGAAACUGCCUGAUGGAGGGGGAUAACUACUGGAAACGGUAGCUAAUACCGCAUAACGUCUUCGGACCAAAGAGGGGGACCUUCGGGCCUCUUGCCAUCAGAUGUGCCCAGAUGGGAUUAGCUAGUAGGUGAGGUAAUGGCUCACCUAGGCGACGAUCCCUAGCUGGUCUGAGAGGAUGACCAGCCACACUGGAACUGAGACACGGUCCAGACUCCUACGGGAGGCAGCAGUGGGGAAUAUUGCACAAUGGGCGCAAGCCUGAUGCAGCCAUGCCGCGUGUAUGAAGAAGGCCUUCGGGUUGUAAAGUACUUUCAGCGAGGAGGAAGGCAUUGUGGUUAAUAACCGCAGUGAUUGACGUUACUCGCAGAARAAGCACCGGCUAACUCCGUGCCAGCAGCCGCGGUAAUACGGAGGGUGCAAGCGUUAAUCGGAAUUACUGGGCGUAAAGCGCACGCAGGCGGUCUGUCAAGUCGGAUGUGAAAUCCCCGGGCUCAACCUGGGAACUGCAUUCGAAACUGGCAGGCUAGAGUCUUGUAGAGGGGGGUAGAAUUCCAGGUGUAGCGGUGAAAUGCGUAGAGAUCUGGAGGAAUA